rnacentral:rRNA from 1 species
UACGUAGGGUGCGAGCGUUGUCCGGAAUUACUGGGCGUAAAGAGCUCGUAGGUGGUUUGUCGCGUUGUUCGUGAAAACUCACAGCUUAACUGUGGGCGUGCGGGCGAUACGGGCAGACUGGAGUACUGCAGGGGAGACUGGAAUUCCUGGUGUAGCGGUGGAAUGCGCAGAUAUCUGGAGGAACACCGGUGGCGAAGGCGGCAUCCUGGACCGACACUGACGCUGAGGAGCGAAAGCCAGGGGAGCAAACGGG